GGCGAACGCUGGCGGCGUGCUUAACACAUGCAAGUCGAACGGAAAGGCCCUGCUUUUGUGGGGUGCUCGAGUGGCGAACGGGUGAGUAACACGUGAGUAACCUGCCCUUGACUUUGGGAUAACUUCAGGAAACUGGGGCUAAUACCGGAUAGGAGCUCCUGCUGCAUGGUGGGGGUUGGAAAGUUUCGGCGGUUGGGGAUGGACUCGCGGCUUAUCAGCUUGUUGGUGGGGUAGUGGCUUACCAAGGCUUUGACGGGUAGCCGGCCUGAGAGGGUGAUCGGCCACAUUGGGACUGAGAUACGGCCCAGACUCCUACGGGAGGCAGCAGUGGGGAAUAUUGCACAAUGGGCGGAAGCCUGAUGCAGCAACGCCGCGUGCGGGAUGACGGCCUUCGGGUUGUAAACCGCUUUCGCCUGUGACGAAGCGUGAGUGACGGUAAUGGGUAAAGAAGCACCGGCUAACUACGUG
rnacentral:rRNA from 1 species